UACGAAGGGGGCUAGCGUUGCUCGGAAUCACUGGGCGUAAAGGGCGCGUAGGCGGCCAUUCAAGUCGGGGGUGAAAGCCUGUGGCUCAACCACAGAAUUGCCUUCGAUACUGUUUGGCUUGAGACCGGAAGAGGUAAGUGGAACUGCGAGUGUAGAGGUGAAAUUCGUAGAUAUUCGCAAGAACACCAGUGGCGAAGGCGGCUCACUGGCCCGAUACUGACGCUGAGGCACGAAAGCGUGGGGAGCAAACAGG
rnacentral:rRNA from 1 species